rnacentral:snRNA from 1 species
GGAUGUGAGGGCAAUCUUGCUGCGACAUCUGUCACCCCAUUGAUCACCAGGGUUGAUUCAGCUGAUCUGGCUGGCUAGGCGGGUGUCCCCUUCCUCCAUCACCACUCCAUGUGUGUCCCUCCCGCUGCGCGCUCGGUCGAAGAGGUAGUACCUUCCCUGAUAGAGACACACCGUUCAUUGGUCAAGGGUAUAUGGUAGCUGUGCUCCCCUGCUAGAACCUCCAAACACUGAGGGUUUUCAGACAGGGAAAGGAGACCAACAUAUUUAUACUCAUCAGCUGUAAGC